rnacentral:rRNA from 1 species
AUUGAACGCUGGCGGCAGGCCUAACACAUGCAAGUCGAGCGGAGCGGCGGACGGGUGAGUAAUGCCUAGGAAUCUGCCUGGUCGUGGGGGAUAACGUCCGGCAACGGGCGCUAAUACAGAAUACUAUCAGAUGAGCCGAGAUCUGAUUAGCUAGUUGGUGGGGUAAAGGCCUACCAAGGCGACGAUCCGUAACUGGGCUGAGAGGAUGAUCAGUCACACUGGAACUGAGACACGGUCCAGACGCCGACGGGAGGCAGCAGUGGGGAAUAUGGGACAAUGGGCGAAAGCCUGAUGCAGCGACGCCGCGUGGGGGAUGAAGGCUUUCGGGUUGUAAACCUCUUUCGCUAUCGAACGGGUAGGUGGAGAAGAAGCGCCGGCUAACUACGUGCCAGCAGCCGCGGUAAUAC